CGUUGCGGCAGCCUACCAUGCAGUCGAGCGGUAGCACAGAAGAGCUUGCUCUUUGGGUGACGAGCGGCGGACGGGUGAGUAAUGUCUGGGAAACUGCCUGAUGGAGGGGGAUAACUACUGGAAACGGUAGCUAAUACCGCAUAACCUCGCAAGAGCAAAGAGGGGGACCUUCGGGCCUCUCGCCAUCAGAUGUGCCCAGAUGGGAUUAGCUAGUAGGUGAGGUAAUGGCUCACCUAGGCGACGAUCCCUAGCUGGUCUGAGAGGAUGACCAGCCACACUGGAACUGAGACACGGUCCAGACUCCUACGGGAGGCAGCAGUGGGGAAUAUUGCACAAUGGGCGCAAGCCUGAUGCAGCCAUGCCGCGUGUGUGAAGAAGGCCUUCGGGUUGUAAAGCACUUUCAGCGGGGAGGAAGGCGGUGAGGUUAAUAACCUUGCCGAUUGACGUUACCCGCAGAAGAAGCACCGGCUAACUCCGUGCCAGCAGCCGCGGUAAUACGGAGGGUGCAAGCGUUAAUCGGAAUGACUGGGCGUAAAGCGCACGCAGGCGGUCUGUUAAGUUGGAUGUGAAAUCCCCGGGCUUAACCUGGGAACUGCAUUCAAAACUGACAGGCUAGAGUCUUGUAGAGGGGGGUAGAAUUCCAGGUGUAGCGGUGAAAUGCGUAGAGAUCUGGAGGAAUACCGGUGGCGAAGGCGGCCCCCUGGACAAAGACUGACGCUCAGGUGCGAAAGCGUGGGGAGCAAACAGGAUUAGAUACCCUGGUAGUCCACGCUGUAAACGAUGUCGAUUUGGAGGUUGUGCCCUUGAGGCGUGGCUUCCGGAGCUAACGCGUUAAAUCGACCGCCUGGGGAGUACGGCCGCAAGGUUAAAACUCAAAUGAAUUGACGGGGGCCCGCACAAGCGGUGGAGCAUGUGGUUUAAUUCGAUGCAACGCGAAGAACCUUACCUACUCUUGACAUCCAGAGAACUUAGCAGAGAUGCUUUGGUGCCUUCGGGAACUCUGAGACAGGUGCUGCAUGGCUGUCGUCAGCUCGUGUUGUGAAAUGUUGGGUUAAGUCCCGCAACGAGCGCAACCCUUAUCCUUUGUUGCCAGCGAUUCGGUCGGGAACUCAAAGGAGACUGCCGGUGAUAAACCGGAGGAAGGUGGGGAUGACGUCAAGUCAUCAUGGCCCUUACGAGUAGGGCUACACACGUGCUACAAUGGCGUAUACAAAGAGAAGCGACCUCGCGAGAGCAAGCGGACCUCAUAAAGUACGUCGUAGUCCGGAUUGGAGUCUGCAACUCGACUCCAUGAAGUCGGAAUCGCUAGUAAUCGUAGAUCAGAAUGCUACGGUGAAUACGUUCCCGGGCCUUGUACACACCGCCCGUCACACCAUGGGAGUGGGUUGCAAAAGAAGUAGGUAGCUUAACCUUCGGGAGGGCGCUUACCACUUUGUGAUUCAUGACUGGGGGAAGUCGAGAAGACAUG
rnacentral:rRNA from 1 species